rnacentral:rRNA from 1 species
AUGAGCCCUCUCCUCCCCCAUCGUCGCCCCGCUCGACGACAGGGAGCGCCUCGGCGACCUGCUCGACCGCAGCUGGGCGCGCCCCGACCGCCAGUUCGCCGCCUCCGGCCUCGACGAGGCAGUCCUCCCGUGGAGAGGGACCGGGAGAGCGACGGUGAGGAGGCGGACGGGGUCAAGAGGAAGCGGGUCAGGGCGACCUCACUGGCGGAGCUCACCAUGGACGACGUGGAGCUGCGCCGCCUGCAGGGCAUGGGCAUGACUCUCAAGGACCGCAUCACCGUGCCCAAGGUCGGGGUCACGCAGGCCAUCACAGAGAAGAUCCACGACGCCUGGAGGAAGUCCGAGCUGGUCCACCUCAAGUUCCACGAGGACCUCGCCAACGACAUGAAGACUGCCCAUGAGCUUGUCGAGGAUGAUUUGGAUGAGUGGAUCAGAGGACGACAUGAGCAGCUCAAGUCUCUCAACACGCGGAUGGAUGAUGUUGUGGAGAGGGCCAUCGGGAGGGGGUUUGCAUUGCCAAAGUUGAAGGUGGCCAUCGCCUUGACCUGCCUGGACCUCCUGACCUUUCACAACGCUCAAACAGGAAACACAUGUUGGAGGAGGAGACCACAAGCUAAUUGAUCCGAGAACAGAGAUCCUACCGGCUAUCCCCUUCCGCUCCCUACGUGGCUCCGCUCCCCUUCCGCUCCCAUCCCGCCGCCCGCCGUGCGCCACUCCGGCGCCGGCGUCCACCACUCCGUGCCGACGGUCAAUCCGACCCCAGCGGCCACCUCUCUUCCCUUCGUGCGGCGGUUCUGGGGGUUCAUGGCAGGCAGUCCGGCCUCCGUCUCGUUGGCAUUCCCUAGGAGCUCGGAGCGGCCGAUGGUCUCUGGCCUCGGGCUUUCGGAGAGCUCGGGUGCGGCGAUCUCGCCGGAUAUGGACGGCAAGUGCUUCCGUUGCCUCAAGGAGGGGCACUUCAGGAACGACUGCACCAACCCCAUGGUUUGCUUUCGGGACUGCGCGCCGGUGUGGCCUCGCCUUUCGCCGCCCGGCAGGGACCGCGCGCUGGGGUGUCCUCGCCUCGCGCCGUCGGGAUCCCAGUGGGCGGAUCCGGAGGAGGAGCCUGCAAUGGGGGAGCUCUGCGUGGUCAGGCGGGGCCGGACGAUGGCGGAUUUGGAGCAGAGGUUCAGAUUCACCAUGGUGGCAUAUGUGGCCGGUACGCGCCACGACAUCGAGCCGGAGUUCGUGCUUCAAGCCCUGGAGGAAAAGCUCGACAUUCAGUCACAGUGGGUCUCAGUUCAUCGAUAUCGGCCUGAGGAUUUCCUGGUCGUCUUCGCCUCCGCUGAGAUCAGGAACAGAGUGAGCACGAGGCCGCCGCUUGAGCACCGCGGGGUUAAGCUGUUCUUCAGACAAUGGACAAGGCAAGCGCAGGCCGUCCACACCAUCCUCAGCCAGAGAGUGUCGCUAGUGUUGGAAGGCAUCCCGCCCCAUGCUUGGGAGAGUGAGACCACCGAGGACCUGCUGGGUUCAGCUUGCCUGGUGGACACUAUUGUGCCAGACACGAGUUCAAGGAGAGAUCUUUCCGCUUUCAGGCUCACUACUUGGACGGUAAACUAUGAUAGCAUUCUGACGCUCCGCUGGUUGGCGGUGCCCGAGCCAGGACUGGUGGCGCCAUUGUUUGAGCCCACCAUGCUGCAAUACAAGGUGUUGAUUCACAUUGUGGAGAUCAGGGACUUUGGAGAGUUCAUGGAGCCGUCGUGGACGGUGCCGGUGUUCUCCGACAGCAGUCAGAGUGGCCUCCCCAGCCCCGAUGGUGGCGGCAGCGCUGGUGGCGGGGGAGGUGCGGCCUUCCGUCCCCAUUGGCAGUUCGGCACCAGGGAUAUGCGCGGUGGAGUCGCCGCCGGUUCUUCUCGGAGUCGUGGUGGUGCGGGGGAGUCCCCAGCAGCAACGCCGGCAACCGCGGCCUGGGCACUGCCGCCCAUGGAGCCCAGAUCGUGGGUUGCGUCAGCUGGUCAGCCACAGCCUGUAAAGGAGAGAAUCGCUGUCCGGCACUCCGCUUUUGACCGCUUGACUAUGCCAGCUGGACCAACGGAAGGAUCAACAGAGGGCAUUUCAAAUCAAGAGGUGGUUACUCCCGUGCCGGCAAUGAUUGGGACGCCUGACCUAAUUGUGAUGAACGCAAGCAUGCCAGGAAGGGAGGGUGCCGUGCUGGGUCCUCACCCGGCCACAGAUGAGGCCACUGCCCUGGAGCGAACGACGCCUCCCGAAGAAAUCGCCUACUCUAAGCUCAAGGCGUUCUGCGUCAACAUCAUCAAGAAGCUUGCCCCGCCCCUGCUUAAGGAGGUGCAAGACUCCACGCUUCGACCAGACGCAGAGCCAUUCACGCCGAGGCGCACUACGAGAGCCACGAAAAAGGCUGGGGGAGCUACCUCGUCAAAGGCCACCCCAGCUGAGAAUGUGCUGCUUCGCGCGCUCGGCCUGGCGCCGCACGACCUGCAGGUGGAUGAGCAAAUGGUGGAGGAUUUAAAAGGGCUGUUCGACUCGCCGCUCAGAGAACAGCACAUUCGAGUCAUAGCCUCACUCUUUGGGAAGACCAUGCCAAUUGGUGGUGAUCUUGGAGGGGCAAGCUCGACGGCCUUGGGAGUUCAUUAG